GAUGAAGAACGUAGCGAAAUGCGAUAAGUAAUGUGAAUUGCAGAAUUCAGUGAAUCAUCGAAUCUUUGAACGCACAUUGCGCCCUCUGGUAUUCCGGGGGGCAUGCCUGUUCGAGCGUCAUUAUAACCACUCAAGCUCUCGCUUGGUAUUGGGGUUCGCGGUUCCGCGGCCCCUAAAAUCAGUGGCGGUGCCUGUCGGCUCUACGCGUAGUAAUACUCCUCGCGAUUGAGUCCGGUAGGUCUACUUGCCAACAACCCCCAAUUUUUACAGGUUGACCUCGGAUCAGGUAGGGAUACCCGCUGAACUUAAGCAUAUCAAUAAGCGGAGGA
rnacentral:misc_RNA from 1 species